rnacentral:tRNA from 1 species
GGGGAUACAGCUCAGUUGGAAGAGUGUUUGCCUCCCAUGCACAGGCCCUGGGUUCAAUCCCAGCACCCCCC